UAAUUUCUGAAUUAAUUGCUC
rnacentral:piRNA from 1 species